CAGUAGCUCCGCCUUCGCUGUAUCUUCUGUCACCAGGGCACCCAUUUCAUUCAGCAGCGGUCCCACAUUACCCCUAGUCUUACGUUUACUGCUGAUAUACUUGAAGAAUCUAUUCUUG